CUGCCUGAUAAGGGAACACAUGCCAAGCAGAUCCACAAAGAUUCAACACACCAAACGGUAUUUGUCACUAAUACUGGGUUGAAACAGCAGGGGUGCAGGAUAAGGAGGUAGGCUUUCUGGGUCUCAGACUGUGACUCACUAUUUGACUCUGAGGAGGGUACUUCCUCCUUUCAAUUUUCUACCAUAAAAGGAGUUAGCAGCAUUAUUUACUGAGAUUCCACAAACAAAUCUCAUAAUGGAACAAGGAAAAGGUUGUUUGCCUUGCCUGUUCUUUUCCACAAAGCAGGGUGACUGAGAUGUCAACACGUACCAACCGAAGACAACAGAGGACACUGGAGAACCCGUGAUAUUCACAGGACUUCUGUACAAUCUCCAACUCUUCUGUCGAGUGGAAAAGGCUGGAACCUUUCCAGACAACUGGGUGUUGGCUGUGGGUCUGGAAGAUGAGAUAGAGAUGCUUCUGUUGGAUCCCAUUGACUUCUAAGGGGUUCCCUGUUGAAUGCCUGUGAGACUAGAAGAACUAUCACAGAAAAAAAUAAUCUAGAGGAGUCCUCCAAACCAAACUGCUAAUGAAAGGUCAAGUAGAAAGCAUGUGGCAUUCUACAAGUGCUGGGGACCUUAUACAUGUCAGGCCAUUCCGAUCAUUUCCUGGAAGACAUAACAAAUAUAGACACAUAAGUUGCUUGUAGGACUGGAAGAGGAUGCUGUUCAGAAGAAAAACAGGACGUUGAGAAGAGCAUGUCUUUGUUCCAAAAAAGGUACAUCGGCUUCCCCUAAUGCUUUGAUCCU